AAGUCGUAACAAGGUAACCGUAGGUGAACCUGCGGUUGGAUCAUUAAAAAGAUCUGACAACCUGAGCCUUGUGCUCUCGUUGUUAUCAAACCCACAUUUAUGUGAACUGUUUGUCUCUGGCGGCCGGGGAGUUGGUUGCGCCAAUUUUUAUUGGCAACGCCCUCCCUGUCAGCUUGGGUAACCAAGCCGUGGACAAACCGCCAACCGACUACUUAACAAACUUUUUAAUAAUAUUACAUCUAACAUAAACUUGUAUUUUAAUAUGCAAACAACUUUUGGCAACGGAUCUCUUGGCUCUC
rnacentral:misc_RNA from 1 species